AGAGUUUGAUCCUGGCUCAGGAUGAACGCUGGCGGCGUGCCUAACACAUGCAAGUCGAACGGGGUAUAUAAGCGGAAGUUUACGGAUGGAAGGUUAUAUACCCAGUGGCGGACGGGUGAGUAACGCGUGGGCAACCUGCCCCGUGCCGGGGGAUACCGCCUGGAAACAGGCGCUAAUACCGCAUAAGCGCAUACAGCCGCAUGGGUGUAUGCGGAAAGCUCCGGCGGCACGGGAUGGGCCCGCGCCCGAUUAGCCAGUUGGCGGGGUAACGGCCCACCAAAGCGACGAUCGGUAGCCGGCCUGAGAGGGCGGACGGCCACAUUGGGACUGAGACACGGCCCAAACUCCUACGGGAGGCAGCAGUGGGGAAUAUUGCACAAUGGGGGAAACCCUGAUGCAGCAACGCCGCGUGGGUGAAGGAGCGUUUCGGCGCGUAAAGCCCCGUCAGCGGGGAAGAAGAAAGACGGUACCCGACCAAGAAGCCCCGGCUAACUACGUG
rnacentral:rRNA from 1 species